rnacentral:rRNA from 1 species
AACAAACGCUGGCGGCGUGCCUAAUACAUGCAAGUCGAACGAGGAAAGCUUUCGGGUGAGUACUAGUGGCGCACGGGUGAGGAAUAUAUGGGUAAUCUGCCCUCGAGUUGGGGAUAACCAGUCGAAAGACUGGCUAAUACCGAAUAAGACCACAGGAUCUGCGGAUCUAGGGGUUAAAGGUUUUUCGCUUGAGGAUGAGCCCAUACGGGAUUAGCUAGUUGGCGAGGUAAUGGCUCACCAAGGCUACGAUCCCUAACUGGUCGUAGAGGAUGAUCAGUCACACUGGAACUGAGACACGGUCCAGACACCUACGGGAGGCAGCAGUAGGGAAUAUUGCACAAUGGGGGAAACCCUGAUGCAGCGACGCCGCGUGAGUGAUGAAGGCCUUCGGGUCGUAAAGCUCUGUCGUAUGGGACUAACACAAUGAAGGUACCAUGCAAGAAAGGAUCGGCUAACUUCGUGCCAGCCGCCGCGGUAA